UACGUAGGGUGCAAGCGUUAAUCGGAAUUACUGGGCGUAAAGCGUGCGCAGGCGGCUUUGCAAGACAGAUGUGAAAUCCCCGGGCUUAACCUGGGAACUGCAUUUGUGACUGCAUGGCUGGAGUGCGGCAGAGGGGGAUGGAAUUCCGCGUGUAGCAGUGAAAUGCGUAGAGAUGCGGAGGAACACCGAUGGCGAAGGCAGCCCCCUGGGCUAACACUGACGCUCAGGCACGAAAGCGUGGGGAGCAAACAGG
rnacentral:rRNA from 1 species